AUAAGUAAAUAAUAACAGGACUGUAUUUUCCACAGAAAUGGAGGGAAACGGACAAUGCAGUUCAGACUUAAAAGACAUCUAUGUUCCAUCCUCACCUCAACCAGAAUUAGAAGUAAAAUGGCACUAUGGGUGAAAGAACAUAUACACAAGAGAAGAACAGUGACAGAAACUAAAGAAAUGGCACACACAGAAAUGGUUCACAAACACUGAAGCAAUGGCAGGAACACUGACAGAAAAUUAUUUGUACAGUGGAAGAAGAUCUUGACACACAGUUGACAGAAGGAUGAUGAUGCAUGCAAGAUAGGCACCAUAUUUAAGUAUUAUGCAAAUUUUAGUACAUUUCUAUUUUUUCCAUAUAUUUGUUAUUAAUCUAAGUUUAAAUAUGUGUAAACACAUGAAAAUCAAUUGUCAUAUAGACUGAAUAUAAUUGCUGACUGAGUCAGAAAGCUCUCUCAUACUACAGGACUUGAAGAAAUUUUAGUCCAGAUAAAGAAGAAAGGUAGUCAUAACAAAGUCACAUAUAAUUAAAAGGUAUUUUAUUAGACUGAGUUUUUGCUAUUAUUGACUGAAGCAUUUUACGGUUUCUAUUAAGAGCUGAGGAUUUCCAUUUAAUGAGUUUGAUAGGACAUACCAGAAUAGUAUGGAAUUUUAAACCAAGGGGUUUUCUGUCUCUGCUUUUAAGUUUGUUACAAGCAGAGCUUUGAUUAUACAUGUCCCUCACCUCUUAUCACACUAUAUUUUACCACAAAAUUGAGGCAGAACAUCACCUGGAGUGAUUUCUACUUAAGCCAUAUCCAUGAAGCAGUAUCUGUGCAUGGCAGAUGAAGAUCUUCAUGUCCCUACUUCUCCCUUUCCAAUGUCCAUAUUUCACUAGAGGUUUGUUCGUCAUUAAUAAUUUAAGUAUUUUAACAUUUUGAGAAGAUCAAACAGUUUUACUACCUUAAAUUUUUAAAGCCCUUCCAUGGUGGUAAGAAGUUCAUGCUCUCAGUGGAAGCUUAAACCAAAGACAAUGAUUUGAAAGCAAAAUAUUAAAAAUGUUGUUUUCACAUUUGUAGAACCUGACCUGCAAAAUGCAAGCAGUGUCUUAAUAGGAAGCACUGAUUAUUUAACAUGAAAAGACAUUCCUUGUAGGAGAUGUUUUUUGGCUGCUGGUUCAAGAAAUCCAUGUUGCAGCAUAAUUUCUCUGAAGGUGCAGUAGAAUGCAAGGCAU
rnacentral:lncRNA from 1 species